rnacentral:tRNA from 1 species
GUUCAAUUAGUAUAUCUAUUACACUGGUUUUAGGAACCAGAGAGUGAAGGCCCAGCUUCAAUUGAAUG